rnacentral:rRNA from 1 species
ACGGGUGAGUAACGCGUGGGAAUCUACCCUGAACUGCGGAAUAGCUCCGGGGAACUGGAAUUAAUACCGCAUGUGCCCUGAGGGGCAAAGAUUUAUCGGUUCAGGAUGAGCCCGCGUCCGAUUAGCUAGUUGGUGGGGUAAAGGCCUACCAAGGCGACGAUCGGUAGCUGGUCUAAGAGGAUGAUCAGCCACAUUGGGACUGAGACACGGCCCAAACUCCUACGGGAGGCAGCAGUGGGGAAUAUUGGACAAUGGGCGCAAGCCUGAUCCAGCCAUGCCGCGUGAGUGAUGAAGGCCCUAGGGUUGUAAAGCUCUUUCAGUGGGGACGAUAAUGACGGUACCCACAGAAGAAGCCCCGGCUAACUUCGUGCCAGCAGCCGCGGUAAUACGAAGGGGGCUAGCGUUGUUCGGAAUUACUGGGCGUAAAGCGCACGUAGGCGGACAUUUAAGUCAGGGGUGAAAUCCCGGGGCUCAACCCCGGAACUGCCUUUGAUACUGGGUGUCUUGAGUUCGGAAGAGGUGAGUGGAAUUGCGAGUGUAGAGGUGAAAUUCGUAGA